rnacentral:rRNA from 1 species
ACUCAAAGGAAUUGACGGGGACCCGCACAAGCGGUGGAUGAUGUGGAUUAAUUCGAUGCAACGCGAAAAACCUUACCUACCCUUGACAUGGUUCGAAUCUGCAAGAGAUUGCGGAGUGCUCGCAAGAGAACGGAUACACAGGUGCUGCAUGGCUGUCGUCAGCUCGUGUCGUGAGAUGUUGGGUUAAGUCCCGCAACGAGCGCAACCCUUAUCAUUAAUUGCCAGCAUGUAGAGGUGGGCACUUUAAUGAGACUGCCGGUGACAAACCGGAGGAAGGUGGGGAUGACGUCAAGUCCUCAUGGCCCUUAUGGGUAGGGCUUCACACGUCAUACAAUGGUGCAUACAGAGGGUUGCCAACCCGCGAGGGGGAGCUAAUCCCGGAAAGUGCAUCGUAGUCCGGAUUGGAGUCUGCAACUCGACUCCAUGAAGUUGGAAUCGCUAGUAAUCGCGGAUCAGCACGUCGCGGUGAAUACGUUCCCGGGUCUUGUACACACCGCCCGU